CCUUGUGCCCUGUGUUGGCUGGGAUUGGCUCCAGCAGACCCCCGUGACCCUGUGUUCGGAUUCAGCGGGUUGGAAAAUGGAUGGAUGGAUGAAACUGUCUUGGAUAAUAUGUUAUUUCAAUAUCUUCUUCACAUAAGGUACAAACCACACAAUCCUGCCCAAAUCUGUCUUAAAAAUUAUUCAAUCCCUGUAAGAAUUUUGAAAUGGAUUUCCUUUGCUUUUGUUGUUACUAGAAAUGUUAAUUUGCCCUUAGUUUUUCUAUGCCAGCUUUUUUUUUUUUUUUUUUUUUAAAUCUAAAAAAUUGAAUUUCUAUUUGAUUGAAAAGGCAAUCUAUCAAAUUGUUUGGAAAUUUUGAGGCAUGAACAUCCACUAAAUAUUUAGAAAGGCAUGAACAUAAAGCAUUUUGUAAUGCCUUAUAGGCUAUCGGUACUGUUGACUGAAGAAUUGCUUUAGUGACAUUAAGGUCUUCAUUCAUAUUUAAAAUGUAAGUUUUUUUUCUCUGAUCUAGAAAAUGUGUCACUGAUUCUUCUUUUCCAACAAAUUCUUGCAAACCAGUGAUUUAUUUGUAAUGAGUGAUAUCACCAGUUCCUCAUAGGUGUAUUGGAAGAUCUGGAAUGUAUGCUUGUAGAUUAUUUUCCAAUAUAGUGACUUAUUGAUGAAAUUGUGGUAACGUGGGACGUAGUCAUUUUAAAAAAAAAAAAAAUUCCAUAAACUGUUUUGUUUCUUUAUACUGGCGAAGAGCUAUUUCUUUCUGUGGCUUGUAAUCCUCCUCCUUUUGUCUUCUUUACCAUGUUCUGCUUUCCUAAUAUCGUGUGUUUCGAAUGAGAACACACAUCUGUGGAUGUGAAUACAGGUAGCUGCAAAAUCCUCCAUUUGAAAAGGCUUCACCAAUGGGUUUACUACUUCAAAUCCUGUCCCCAGUGUCCUCCCGUCCAUGCACUGUAAACAGCCAUGGUUGCAGUGUCCCAUUUCUCCUUAUGUAUUUGGCAAAUACAUAAAAUAACCAUGGAGAGCGAGAGAAAGAGAGAAGAAAAUUUCUGAAAGAAAACAGAAGGAGAAUUUCCAUCCAUAGAAGGUUGAUCCAACGAAACUACAGACUUAAUGUUGGUCAGGUCUUGUUAACAAGACCACCAAUAUUCUUUGCCUUUUAAAUGAUUGCCCCUGCAUUGCUCUUUUACCUUCAUGAUGUGUUGGAUUGGUUUCAAAAUGUUGCAGUCACUAAACUGUCUAAUUCUUCCUGCCCACUCUUAAGCCAAAGUUCACUCAUGGUUGUCUCUAGAUGUAUGUUUAAAUAUCUGGAACUGCAAAAUAAUGCCUAUCCCAAUGAUACCAUGUGUAGCUCAUACAUCCAGGCUCCUGAGACUUGAUACAUCCAUCUUUGUUGGGCAUAAGCUCAGGUAUGUGCUGGUCGACUAUUCUAAGGUAUCCUUGAUAACGGACUAGAUGUCGGACAGACCGUAGUUUGUGAGACUCAAUAUCCAUGUCUCUGAUAUAGAUGUGUGCAGCAAUGUUGCCCCACAAGGAAAAGACCUGUCUCCUUUUCUGUUCGCCCUGUACAGCUCAAACUAUAAAUAAAACGCAAGUUCAUGUCACUUGCAGAAAUUCCCUGAGGAUGGGGACAGAGUUUAAGGACUCGGAUGGAGAUAAUUCUUUCUUGGUGCAAGGAGAACUGGCUGCAGCUAACCAUCGGCAAAACCAAAAAACAGGCUGUCGACUUUUGUGGCCCUAAAGAACUUGAAUGCCCAGUUACUGUUUAGAGAGUGGAUGUGGAAAUACUUGGUACAUCGAGGUCCAUGUCAAUGAUAAGCGAGUCCAGUCUACUAACUCAGAAGUGCUAUAUAGGAAGGGACAGAGCAGAGAGAACUUUUGAUUUAGGUGGUGACAUCUUUAACAUCAUCAGCAACUCUGUGAUGGCCAGUGCAAUUUUCAGUGCUGUGGUGUGCUCUGUCUGGUAACAUCACUUCAGAAGAAGCCCACCGAAUCCACAAGCUAAUUGAGAAGGCAGGCUCAGUUAGGGGAUAUUCUGUACUCCUGCUGGAGGUGCUGUAGUAGAGAAUGAUAUAAUGAAAACAAAACUGCUGGAAUUAAUGAACAAUGCUGCAAAUGAUACACUAACACUAAAAAUUUUCAGAUAAAUUAUUCAGCAAAAGUUUGUCAAGAGAUGUUACUGGGACUGUUUUAUGCUAAUUGCAAUUCACCUUUUGUCUUAAUGUGACAUUUCUCCUUAGCAAUUUCAGAAGUUUUUUUUUUGUUUGUUUUUAUGAUUGUUUCACGGAGGUUGUUAUAAUAAUUUUUGAACUUUUGUAAAAGCUAAACUUCCCUCCUAGUGCAAGUAAAUGAUCUAUCUAUCUCUAA